rnacentral:rRNA from 1 species
GCGUUGUCCGGAUUUAUUGGGCGUAAAGCGCACGUAGGCGGCCGGUAAGUCCGUUGUGAAAGUCAGAGGCUCAACCUCUGGAGGCCAAUGGAUACUGCCGGGCUAGAGUCCGGAAGAGGCGAGUGGAAUUCCUGGUGUAGCGGUGGAAUGCGUAGAUAUCUGGAGGAACACCGGUGGCGAAGGCGGCAUCCUGGACCGGCAUUGACGCUGAGUUCGCGAAAGCCAGGGGAGCAACGGG